UACGGGAGUGGCAAGCGUUAUCCGGAAUUAUUGGGCGUAAAGCGUCCGCAGGCGGUCUUGUAAGUCUGUUGUUAAAGCGUGGAGCUUAACUCCAUUUCAGCAAUGGAAACUGUAAGACUAGAGUGUGGUAGGGGCAGAGGGAAUUCCCGGUGUAGCGGUGAAAUGCGUAGAUAUCGGGAAGAACACCAGUGGCGAAGGCGCUCUGCUGGGCCAUAACUGACGCUCAUGGACGAAAGCCAGGGGAGCGAAAGGGAUUAGAUACCCCUGUAGUCCUGGCCGUAAACGAUGAACACUAGGUGUCGGGGGAAUCGACCCCCUCGGUGUCGUAGCCAACGCGUUAAGUGUUCCGCCUGGGGAGUACGCACGCAAGUGUGAAACUCAAAGGAAUUGACGGGGGCCCGCACAAGCGGUGGAGUAUGUGGUUUAAUUCGAUGCAACGCGAAGAACCUUACCAGGGUUUGACAUCCUGCGAAUCUUUUGGAAACAAAAGAGUGCCUUCGGGAACGCAGUGACAGGUGGUGCAUGGCUGUCGUCAGCUCGUGUCGUGAGAUGUUGGGUUAAGUCCCGCAACGAGCGCAACCCACGUCGUUAGUUGCCAGCAUUUAGUUGGGCACUCUAGCGAGACCGCCGGUGAUAAACCGGAGGAAGGUGUGGAUGACGUCAAGUCAUCAUGCCCCUUACAUCCUGGGCUACACACGUACUACAAUGCUACGGACAAAGGGCAGCAAACUCGCGAGAGCUAGCAAAUCCCAUAAACCGUGGCUCAGUUCAGAUCGUAGGCUGCAACUCGCCUACGUGAAGGAGGAAUCGCUAGUAAUCGCAGGUCAGCAUACUGCGGUGAAUACGUUCCCGGGCCU
rnacentral:rRNA from 1 species